UACGUAGGCAGCGAGCGUUGUUCGGAGUUACUGGGCGUAAAGAGCGUGUAGGCGGCCAAACAGGUCCGUUGUGAAAACUGGAGGCUUAACCUCCAGACGUCGACGGAAACCGUAUGGCUAGAGUCCGGAAGAGGAGAGUGGAAUUCCUGGUGUAGCGGUGAAAUGCGCAGAUAUCAGGAAGAACACCAAUUGCGAAGGCAGCUCGCUGGGACGUUACUGACGCUGAGACGCGAAAGCGUGGGGAGCAAACAGG
rnacentral:rRNA from 1 species